rnacentral:rRNA from 1 species
AACGCGAAGAACCUUACCUAUCCUUGACAUCCUCGGAAUCUGCUGGAAUCAGUGGAGUGCCUUCGGGAGCCGGGAGACAGGUGCUGCAUGGCUGUCGUCAGCUCGUGUCGUGAGAUGUUGGGUUAAGUCCCUUAACGAGCGCAACCCUUGUCCUUAGUUGCCAACAGGUAAAGCUGGGAACUCUAAGGAGACUGCCGGUGAUAAACCGGAGGAAGGUGGGGAUGACGUCAAGUCCUCAUGGCCCUUACGGAUAGGGCUACACACGUGCUACAAUGGGCGGUACAGAGGGAAGCGAAGCUGUGAAGUGUAGCGAAUCUCACAAAACCGUUCGUAGUCCGGAUUGGAGUCUGCAACUCGACUCCAUGAAGUUGGAAUCGCUAGUAAUCGCGGAUCAGAACGCCGCGGUGAAUACGUUCCCGGGCCUUGUACACACCGGUACUA